UUGAAUAAAAAAACAUUAUUCAUUUAUACAUAAACUGCAAUUAGUUUAGCUGUUAAAAUAAAUAUAAAUAUAAAUAAAACCAAACUGUUUCAACAACGGUGAUGGAUUAAACACUUGUUGUGCAUCUAUUUUCUAGACCGUUGUCUGUUUCAGUCACUUUUUAAUUAUACAGUAAAUAAUAUAAAACCAUCGUGAAGCUGUAGAUGAAUGUGUGCAAAAUGUACGAUUAUAUUUUGUCAAGUUUACAAAAGCUGUUGUGUGUCUGUUUCAAUCUUGUAAGAUGUCCCAGAACGCUCUCCUAUUAAUAAAAUAUAAAGUGAGCAAAUUUUCCUUACGAAUAAUGCUGUGUGUUAAAUUAAGACUAUGCAGAAAAAUUAGCGUUUGAUGUGAUUUAUGUGUUUUUCUUACGAUCAAAAUCGAGGCAGCUGACGUGUGAGAACAUAAAUGGCAGAGGAGCGUAAAGCCUCGACAGUCUGUCUUUGCAGUGGAGGAAGUCGGAUCAGCCGAGAUCAAGAAAAAGAAACAGCAGUGUUCUGGUGCGCUGUACCUUGUGGUUCUGGUAGGACGUCACAGCGAUGAAGGCCGUCUCGGAGAAGACGUGGGUGCAGAAAGCCGUGUUUUUCGAGCCGAAGCCGUUAUUCUCGUCCGCCUUGACGAUGUGGAGACGAGGCUGAUGCUGGGAGCUGGACUGUAGACUGGAGGCCAGGUGGAGGGUGAACGCAUAUAUAUGUCAGAAGGUAAACAGAUUUCUAGGAUGAUAUGAAUCUUUACGACAGAGACUUGCUGUUUACAUAGUAGUGGGAUCAAACCAAUGUAGGCCAGAAGGAAAAACAGGUUCAUAUUUAGUUUUCCAAGGCUGAAUAUGUUGGUGGGGGGUUUUACAUUUCUGUUAAUUCAGAGAAUAAAGCAGAGAGCUUGAUUUUUUUUGUAUAAACGGCUGUAUUUAGGUGAGAACCAAACAUGGCUGCCACCUUUAAACAAAGCGAUAAGGGAAACAUUGUGUUGUGAUAUCACGAUAUUCACAAUAACUGCUAUUAAAAAUUAAAAUACUGAAAUCCUGUUGAUAAUACACAUAUGAUAAUAACCAGGGAAGAUGUUAGAUCAUGUGCUUCUUUUGUUUAUCGGUUCAUCUGGUUGCCUCGUAUUUGUCAUUUGUCACUUUUACACUCACACAAUAAAUUUGUUUUGAAUUUACCAGGAAAAACCCACAGUAAACAAAGUUACAGAUACAUUUGAUUGUUUUGUUUUUCUCCAAAAUGUUUUGACAUAAUGAAAAUAUUGUUAUCGUGAAUUUGUUUGACCACAAUAAUUGUGUAUUCUAUAGCGCUCUUUAUCCCACUUUUAAAACUCAUCUCCACCAGACCACAUGGUGUUUUUUGUUCAUUUUUGUACUGUGUAUUACAAAAUACAAUCAAUCUGCUUGUCUGUGUCUGCUGAAUUGUACAUUUUUACGUCUAUUUACGAGUGUUAUGUCCCGUGUUUCAUUCCCCAAAAGCCUAACAAGGUACAAAGACUGCAGAUUAGCUGCAGCUAGAAGUCCAACAGUACGUUUAAUUAGAUGUAACAAUGUGAACAUGUAUCGUCCCUGUCAAUUAAACUAAUAAAUAAAUAAAAAUACAUCCGUG